rnacentral:rRNA from 1 species
GUGUCAGCCGCCGCGGUAACACGUAGGCACCAAGCGUUGUCCGGAUUUAUUGGGCGUAAAGAGCUCGUAGGCGGUUCGGUAAGUCGGGUGUGAAAACUUUGGGCUCAACCCAAAGCGUGCACUCGAUACUGCCGUGACUAGAGUUCGGUAGGGGAGCGGGGAAUUCCUAGUGUAGCGGUGAAAUGCGCAGAUAUUAGGAGGAACACCGGUGGCGAAGGCGCCGCUCUGGGCCGAAACUGACGCUGAGGAGCGAAAGCGUGGGUAGCAAACAGGAUUAGAAACCCCCGUAGUCC